CCACAGGAGAGAAAGUCCUUGUGUUGUGUUCCUUCAUUUGCCCCAGGGUGCUGUCCUGGAUUAAACAGGAACAGCCCAGGAACAGAGCCUCGGGAGCAGCGGGUGUAGGAGAUGGAGGUGCCCUGCAAAGGGUAUGGCUGUGGCUGGCACAUUGUAAUCACCAGGAUGGUGUUCUCUGGUGGAGCUGAAAGUCAGAACUUUGUUGCUUUAUGACAACACUACCGUAUGGUACCUGGAAUGGCUGAGAUCAGAUGGAGUUAACGUGUACGGGGCUUUCAUAAAGGUUUCCAGUGCAAGCUAUUCAUAAAAGUGCAACUCUCAGCUGAGAUUUCCAAUUAGCAGAGAUGUGUGGAGCUAAUGAAUGACCAGCACAGACAAUGUGCUGUGUGCAUGGGGCUUGCACAGUGUCCCACUGGAGCCUCUGGGCCUCAUGGGGAGCAGGGGCUGAAGUGGGGAUGUAGCACCUGGAGCAUCCCUGCCACCCACCCUUGGAGGAGGAGGAGGCAGCAGGACGAAGAGCUCUCAGUCUGUGUGUCCUAAGCACCUCCCUAUACUCUUUUGUCUCUGAUGUGUGGAUGUUUUCCUGGAUGUGAUAUUGGGACCCUGGUUUUCUGGGAGCUGCAGGCUGGCACAAGGGGCAGAGAGCUGCGGCAGUCCGAGAUGUGCUGGUCUUGUUCCCUUUGGAAAAGGGCUCUUCCCCCUCCUUUCUGUAACGAGUGAGGGGGAGGAAGACUCGCUUCAGAAAUGAACCUUUUUCUCCCAACCUCAUGGUCCAGGAUUUCUCAUGGAAGGAAGGAAGGGCUGACACCACUGGCCUGUAGCAGCAGGGGAAAUGGCAAGAGGCAGAGAAAGCAGCUCCAUGAGGCUGGAGGGGGAUUGGUACCCACUGUCCCAGAUGAGCAGAGCUCGGAUCUGUUCUUUUCACACCUUCCUGCCUGAGGUUAUGCCUAUGCAGGACACCUGGGAGAAGCCAUCAUCAGCCCUGUGCCCGCAUCCUGCUUCAGGAGCAGCCGGAGGAGCCCUCCUGGUAUGGAUGUGCUUGGACCAGGCUUUCCCACCAGCCCCAGCAGGGUCCUACCUUCAUAAACCUCGAUGGUGUAUGGGUGGGCUGUUGUCUGGGACCCUCUUUGUUUCUGGAGCCUAUCCUAUACCCAACACACUGUCUGUCCUCGGAGCUUGCUCAAGAGGCUGUGCACUCUCUCGGCUGCACCCAGAAGUGAUGCUGGGAGAAGAGCAGGAAUAA
rnacentral:lncRNA from 14 species